rnacentral:rRNA from 1 species
CCUACGGGAGGCAGCAGUGGGGAAUAUUGGGCAAUGGGCGAAAGCCUGACCCAGCAACGCCGCGUGAAGGAAGACGGCUUUCGGGUUGUAAACUUCUUUUGACAGGGAAGUGCAGAAGACGGUACCUGUCGCAUAAGCCACGGCUAACUACGUGCCAGCAGCCGCGGUAAUACGUAGGUGGCAAGCGUUGUCCGGAUUUAUUGGGUUUAAAGGGUGCGUAGGCGGGCAUUUAAGCCGGCGGUCAAAUGUCGGGGCCCAACCCCGGCCUGCCGUCGGAACUGGGUGCCUUGAGUGGGCGAGAGGUAUGCGGAAUGCGUGGUGUAGCGGUGAAAUGCAUAGAUAUCACGCAGAACCCCGAUUGCGAAGGCAGCAUACCGGCGCCCUACUGACGCUGAGGCACGAAAGUGCGGGUAUCGAACAGGAUUAGAUACCCGAGUAGUC